rnacentral:rRNA from 1 species
CACGGGGGGAGCAAGCGUUGUUCGGAUUCAUUGGGCGUAAAGAGCUCGUAGGUGGCUCUGUAAGUCGGAGGUGAAAGACCACGGCUCAACCGUGGAAACGCCUUCGAAACUGUGGAGCUUGAGGCUGGGAGAGGAAAUCGGAAUUCCUGGUGUAGCGGUGAAAUGCGUAGAUAUCAGGAGGAACACCGGUGGCGAAGGCGGAUUUCUGGACCAGUUCUGACACUGAGGAGCGAAAGCCAGGGGAGCAAACAGG